UAGCUCAGUUGGUGGAGCAUGGUGCUUGUAACGCCAGGGUAAUGGGUUUGAUUCCCGU
rfam:Salmo salar isolate Sally breed double haploid chromosome ssa16, whole genome shotgun sequence.